GAAGCGCGGACGCCAGUCCGCGUGGAGCCAUCCUUGAAAUACCACCCUUUAACGUUUGAUGUUCUAACGUGGGCCCGUCAUCCGGGCUGCGGACAGUGUCUGGUGGGUAGUUUGACUGGGGCGGUCUCCUCCCAAAGCGUAACGGAGGAGCACGAAGGUUGGCUAAUCCUGGUCGGACAUCAGGAGGUUAGUGCAAUGGCAUAAGC
rnacentral:rRNA from 1 species